rnacentral:piRNA from 1 species
UAACAAGAUACGUAUCGGCGAUAC